CAGCAGCCGCGGGAAUACGAACCGUGCGAACGUUAUUCGGAAUCACUGGGCUUAAAGCGCGUGUAGGUGGGUGGGUACGUCCGUCGUCGAAAGCCCCCGGCUCAACCGGGGAACUGGCGCGGAUACGGCCUACCUGGAGGGACGUAGGGGGACCUGGAACUUCCGGUGGAGCGGUGAAAUGCGUUGAGAUGUGGAGGAACACCAGUGGCGAAGGCGACUCUCUGGUCUGUAACUGACGCUGAGGAGCGAAAGCGUGGGGAGCGAACAGGAUUAGAUACCCGAGUAGUCCCUGUCUCUUAUA
rnacentral:rRNA from 1 species